CCUGUUGUGGGUACUCAAGGACCAGGGUUGGGAAACACUGGGCUGAUCUUAAUCUAAUGUCAAAGUUUAUGUGAAGUGGUUUUCUGCUUGACACUUGGCAAUACUUUUCUAUUCUUUUCAUCUACAUGAAGGAGACAGAAACUAUUGUGAAAUAGGCAUUAAACAUGACCUAUGUACAAUCACAGAAAAGUAUAUUAUACAUGAGAAACAAGUGUGGAUCUGCAUGUAACUGACACUGCCAUCAAUCGACGAGUUCUUCUUGUUUAUGACUCAUCUGUCACUGGGUCUGAAGCAGAAAGAUUUGGCCCAUUGGUUCAGCAUCCACCAAUCGACAGGGAGCCGGAUUAUCAUCUCUUGGGCCAACUUCCUCUACUGUCUGCUUGGAUCAGCACGGAUAUGGAUCCCAGGGAAAGAUCAAGGCCUAUCCAGACACCCAGAAAAAACGGCAGAAAGCCAAUUCAAUUGAUGUGGAGCAGAAGACAAGAAAUAAGAAGGAGAGUAGCACUUCAUCCCCCUCUCCAAUUCCAACUGACCGUUCUGAACGGAAUUUGUCCGCCACCUCUGACCCCUCACCCUCUGACCAACUCUCCUCCCUCUAUCCACCUCCCUCUCCUGUUAACUGUUCCUCUCAGCCUUGCUCUCCUGUUAAACAGCCCUCUCUCCCCAGGUCACCUGCCAAACACCCUUCCCCAGUGAAAUCCUCUCCAGUGGUGUCCCGCCCUAGUUCUCCCUCUCCUACCAACACUCUGGACAGUCAUGGAGACACCAGCCAAGAGGGCGCAACAGUCAGACCUCUGUCUCUUCAGGACCACUCUAGCCCAAGGCCCCAGAGGUCAGGCUCAGGUGCCAGAAGCCAGACUCUUCCCAGGGCCAGCUCAGCCACCAGAAGGUCAGAGGAGACCCAGGGGGCCAGAGGAGAACGGGGGGCCCUGGUCAACAUGGAACUUCUUGGGUUGCCUAACAUUGGCAACACUUGCUUCCUAAACUCCACCCUGCAGUGCCUCCUGGUCCUGCCUUCCUUCUCAAAGGAAAUCCUACGCCAGGAACAACUCUGGAGCUCCUCCCCCUUCUCCAACCUGCUCAGGUGUCUGUCUGAUGUGCACCGUUCGGGUCUACCUGACAGUGGCGCAAACCAGGCCUCAAAAGCAGACCUCAUGUGGAAGGUCAAGUACUCCUUGUCGGGAUAUGAUUUGAAGUAUCUGGGGGACACGCAACAGGACGCACACGAGUUACUUGUGAAUAUGCUGUGCCAGCUGAAGGAGGAGGGCAUGAUACUGAAGACACUCGGGGUGAACUAUACCUGCCCUGUUUCCCAGCUGGAGUUCCAGCUUGUCUCAGUGCGCACAUGUACCAGCUGUGGGCGCGAGUCGUCCACCAGAGAGGACUACAAUCACCUCUCAUUGGACUUCAGCUCUGAGCGCACCUUGCUAAGCAGCCUAGCACUCACUUUCAAAGUCAGCACGUAGGGUUUAGCCCUGGGUGUAGAGACUAACACCCAGGGCAAGCUGCCCACUGCCUCAGAAUACGGUAUCUUAUUAUUGUAGUGGUAUCACUCAUUUUGUAAUGCUUUUGUUUCUAACCCAGGGAGAAAAGGUUGAAUUCACAUGUGAGGGCUGCAAGGGCCUCCAUGCCUCAAAGGUGGAGCAGUUCCACACACUACCUCUUGUGCUGGUUCUGCAUCUGAAGAGGUUUGGAGGACCUGGGGGGUUGGAGAAGCUGGAGGCUCCUCUUUUGUUUCCUUCGGAGCUGAGGCUCUCCACCUUCUGUGGGGACACGGUGCCACCCCUGCACAGUGCCAGCCCACAGGCCCUCACCAACCAGACCCCCAAUAUCCAGGUGUCCAUCCCCCAGACCCUCGCCAGCCAAGUCUCCAACCCACCUGGAGAGGCCAAAGAUGGCGCCCUCUGCUGUUCAGAAGCAGCCAGUGAAGUCAGUGAAUGGCUACUACCAGCUGACUGGCGUAGUCUCUCAUUUGGGAGGCUCCGCAAACUCCGGGCACUACAUUAGUGACAUCUUGAAUGCCAGUGGAAACUGGUUCUGCUGUAACGACAGCCAAGUGUCAAUGUCCAAUGAAGCCACUGUGCUGAGGACCAGAGCCCGGAGUGCUUACCUGCUCUUCUAUAUGUUCAGGGCAGGAGAGCAUUAGGCCCCAGCACACAUGGCUUAACAGGGCCACCAGCACCAGCCUCAACAGAGGCAGCACCUGGACCAGCCUCCACACACCAAGCUCAGCCUCAAAAGGCUCAGCCCAGUCUCAACAAGGGUUGUACCAGACCUAGACUAAAUACCCUCAGCCCAGCUUCAACAGGGGUAGUCCCAGGCCCAGCCUCAACAUCCUUAGACCUUCCUCAACAGGGGCAGCACCAGGCCCAGCUUCAACACUCCCUGCCCAGCCUCAACAAGGGGGGUGGGGGUGUCUUAAAAAGAGGUUUUGUUCCUACAGUACUUCUCAUGGAACUGGCACAAUGAAAAGAGACCUGGUGUUUCGGAAAGAAGACUGAAACCUCCUGCUCCGACUGAGGAGGAUGAAGAACAAGGUGCGCUGCCUAUGGGACUGUGCCACCUCUGAUCAGGUCCAGACACAUGAUUACUGUGCAGCCCCUGAACCCGCAGCCCUGGACACGGCCCUAAUGGCAAAUCAUGAGCACGUAAGAGAAAUUGAGGAGCUUCGAGCCAAGCUGCAGUAACUGACCGCCCAACACGGCUUUGGUGCGAUUUUCUGGUUCUCAUGAGGAUAUGCGUUUUUACACAAGUUAACCCCCAAAAAUGCUCCCAGGUCGAUAGAUUUGCAAUCUACACCCACCUGAUGGCCUUCUGGCACUUGACUGAGCGGGCAGCAGAGACCAAGUUUAUAAGUCACAAGCACCAAUCCAUCUGAAACAAGUGUUACUCGAAGAAAACCGACACUGCCAUCAAUCGACGAGUUCUUCUUGUUAAUGACUCAUCUGUCGCUGGGUCUGAAGCAGAAGGAUUUGGCCCAUUGGUUCAGCAUCCACCAAUCGACAGUGAGACGGAUUAUCAUCUCUUGGGCCAACUUCCUCUACUGUCUGCUUGGAUCAGCACGGAUAUGGAUCCCCAGGGAAACCAUCAAAGCCCACCUGCCACCCGAGUUCAAGGACUAUCCAGACACCCAGAUAGUGAUCGACUGCACUGAACUCCGCUGCCAGACACCAUCUUCACUCCUACUGCAGAGUGAGGUGUUUUCUUCCUACAAGUCACACUGUACCUUUAAGGGCAUGUUGGGAAUGUCACCACAUGGAGCUGUCACUUUUAUGUCAUCGUUGUGUGCUGGAUCUGUGAGUGACAAGGAGAUCUCCAAGCAGUCUGGAAUUAUUUCCUUACUCUCCCCUGACAUGGCCAUUAUGGUGGAUAAGGGCUUUCUCGUAGAUGACAUUGUUCCGUGCAAGGUCUACCGGCCAGCAUUUCUGUCAAGACGCACACAGAUGCCAGCGCAUGAGGUUAGGGAGACCCAAUCCAUUGCCAGGCUGAGAGUACAUGUUGAAAGAAUGAUCUGCAGAGUAAAGGAGCACAAGCUGUUUGACACAGUCAUCCCCCUGACCAUCUCAGGCAGCAUCAACCAAUUGUUUGCCUGUUGGUCAACUAUCAAAACAGACCUUUGGUCAGAGCAUGGGCCAAGCCAGUGUAAAUGUACAUGUGUUUAUUUGGUAGUAGCAAAAUAAUAAUUUGUUUAUCUACGACAUGUAUCAAUCAUUUGUGUUGUAGUGAAUAUCAGUUUGUGUGGAGCUUGUAUUGGCUUUAAUUAGGCAAUGAGUUUAGGGGUGGGGGAAAGAAAUCAAGUAAACACAGAAUAGCCAGAAUGCAAGACUGUAUACAAUGUUAGAGAUGUGUAAUUGAUUUACUGAACUGUUGAACAUUUACUGAAAUACAUUAUUUUAAACAAAUAUAUUAUACUGCAGUUUUCUUCACAAGAACAUCAAUACUUAUUUUUCAUGAAACCACUAAACUCGGCACCCAUGCAGGGGAUCCAUUCAGGUGCGAGACACACUUCUGCAAGUAGUGGUAAAAAUAAAAGUGUUCAACCUUCUCUCUUAUAUUUUUUGAAACCUGUAGAUCUUUAUAUAUCCUUUCAACUAGGAUGUCCUCCUGUGCACAGAUGACAAAGUCACACCAGCUACAACCUGUGAGAAGAAUUUGACCUUGCACCUGCCAGUAGUAAGCAUGAAAUCUCUUCAACUUCAGCUCUCCAUUCUGUAUCCUCAGGUAAAGGCAGUCAACAUAACUUUGUACAUUUGGGCAUUUGACCUCUAAGAGUGCAAAGUGUGGUCUCACACUGGGAUCAAAUAUGAUGCCAUCUGGAGAGGAUCCUAACCACGGAGCAUCUGGGUGCACUACGAAGCCACAUGGAAAGAAGUUAACAUUCUUCAGUGUGCAGUACUCCUGUACAGCCACUGGCUCCAUGGCUAGCCCCCUCUUCAUCUCCACGGUCUGCACACCAGAUCCCUUGAACAUCCGCUCAGCUAGGCGGUCCGCUGAGGUCUCUCCCCGGACAUGGCAAACCUCUCGGAAACGAGACGAUGUUAUUCUCAUUUUCCUGAGCUGAUGCCAUUCCGGGCUGCUGCUCUGCUCCCUUGUAAACAACCUCAACUUUGUGUGACAUCUCGUAGGUUGUCUCUAAUGCCUUGACCUGGAACUGCCCCUGGUGGCUAAGGACGUAAGCACACUGGGAAGACUGAAGCCUGUUGCCAUCUAACGGAAGUAUUAGUGGAGAAGGGGCAUCGGCAAUUUUCACAAUUUCACGGGUCUUUGGCUGUGGAAGUUGAUAGGACAGCACAUUGCCAGCUUGCACUGGCCCAAAGGCGGACUCAACCAGGGGCACAUCAGCUGACAUUUCCAUUGUUGUCACAAGAGGGGCAGUAAGUGGAGAAAAUUGGCAUACGUUUCUGAGAUGCGGAGAAGAUCCAUGUCAGGCAUAUGUCCAUUGAGUCCAUACCUCUGUGAGUUGCCCCUUUAUAACCUCUCAUAGAACUGGCAGUAUUUAAUUAAAUGAGUGGUCAUUGUGUCCUGAGCAUUUAGGAGUAAUUACCUUCCUGAGCAGGUUGUAGGACUUAGGGAUGAGCACCACCAAACAAAUUUCACUCAUCUGUUAUUUGUUGACUGGUUUCAUUGUCUGUCUGUUCUUCUCUGUCUCUGGGCAGUGUGCUGGUUCUGCAUCUGAAGAGGUUUGGAGGACCUGGGGGGUUGGAGAAGCUGGAGGCUCCUCUUUUGUUUCCUUCGGAGCUGAGGCUCUCCACCUUCUGUGGGGACACGGUGCCACCCCUGCACAGUGCCAGCCCACAGGCCCUCACCAACCAGACCCCCAAUAUCCAGGUGUCCAUCCCCCAGACCCUCGCCAGCCAAGUCUCCAACCCACCUGGAGAGGCCAAAGAUGGCGCCCUCUGCUGUUCAGAAGCAGCCAGUGAAGUCAGUGAAUGGCUACUACCAGCUGACUGGCGUAGUCUCUCAUUUGGGAGGCUCCGCAAACUCCGGGCACUACAUUAGUGACAUCUUGAAUGCCAGUGGAAACUGGUUCUGCUGUAACGACAGCCAAGUGUCAAUGUCCAAUGAAGCCACUGUGCUGAGGACCAGAGCCCGGAGUGCUUACCUGCUCUUCUAUAUGUUCAGGGCAGGAGAGCAUUAGGCCCCAGCACACAUGGCUUAACAGGGCCACCAGCACCAGCCUCAACAGAGGCAGCACCUGGACCAGCCUCCACACACCAAGCUCAGCCUCAAAAGGCUCAGCCCAGUCUCAACAAGGGUUGUACCAGACCUAGACUAAAUACCCUCAGCCCAGCUUCAACAGGGGUAGUCCCAGGCCCAGCCUCAACAUCCUUAGACCUUCCUCAACAGGGGCAGCACCAGGCCCAGCUUCAACACUCCCUGCCCAGCCUCAACAAGGGGGGUGGGGGUGUCUUAAAAAGAGGUUUUGUUCCUACAGUACUUCUCAUGGAACUGGCACAAUGAAAAGAGACCUGGUGUUUCGGAAAGAAGACUGAAACCUCCUGCUCCGACUGAGGAGGAUGAAGAACAAGGUGCGCUGCCUAUGGGACUGUGCCACCUCUGAUCAGGUCCAGACACAUGAUUACUGUGCAGCCCCUGAACCCGCAGCCCUGGACACGGCCCUAAUGGCAAAUCAUGAGCACGUAAGAGAAAUUGAGGAGCUUCGAGCCAAGCUGCAGUAACUGACCGCCCAACACGGCUUUGGUGCGAUUUUCUGGUUCUCAUGAGGAUAUGCGUUUUUACACAAGUUAACCCCCAAAAAUGCUCCCAGGUCGAUAGAUUUGCAAUCUACACCCACCUGAUGGCCUUCUGGCACUUGACUGAGCGGGCAGCAGAGACCAAGUUUAUAAGUCACAAGCACCAAUCCAUCUGAAACAAGUGUUACUCGAAGAAAACCGACACUGCCAUCAAUCGACGAGUUCUUCUUGUUAAUGACUCAUCUGUCGCUGGGUCUGAAGCAGAAGGAUUUGGCCCAUUGGUUCAGCAUCCACCAAUCGACAGUGAGACGGAUUAUCAUCUCUUGGGCCAACUUCCUCUACUGUCUGCUUGGAUCAGCACGGAUAUGGAUCCCCAGGGAAACCAUCAAAGCCCACCUGCCACCCGAGUUCAAGGACUAUCCAGACACCCAGAUAGUGAUCGACUGCACUGAACUCCGCUGCCAGACACCAUCUUCACUCCUACUGCAGAGUGAGGUGUUUUCUUCCUACAAGUCACACUGUACCUUUAAGGGCAUGUUGGGAAUGUCACCACAUGGAGCUGUCACUUUUAUGUCAUCGUUGUGUGCUGGAUCUGUGAGUGACAAGGAGAUCUCCAAGCAGUCUGGAAUUAUUUCCUUACUCUCCCCUGACAUGGCCAUUAUGGUGGAUAAGGGCUUUCUCGUAGAUGACAUUGUUCCGUGCAAGGUCUACCGGCCAGCAUUUCUGUCAAGACGCACACAGAUGCCAGCGCAUGAGGUUAGGGAGACCCAAUCCAUUGCCAGGCUGAGAGUACAUGUUGAAAGAAUGAUCUGCAGAGUAAAGGAGCACAAGCUGUUUGACACAGUCAUCCCCCUGACCAUCUCAGGCAGCAUCAACCAAUUGUUUGCCUGUUGGUCAACUAUCAAAACAGACCUUUGGUCAGAGCAUGGGCCAAGCCAGUGUAAAUGUACAUGUGUUUAUUUGGUAGUAGCAAAAUAAUAAUUUGUUUAUCUACGACAUGUAUCAAUCAUUUGUGUUGUAGUGAAUAUCAGUUUGUGUGGAGCUUGUAUUGGCUUUAAUUAGGCAAUGAGUUUAGGGGUGGGGGAAAGAAAUCAAGUAAACACAGAAUAGCCAGAAUGCAAGACUGUAUACAAUGUUAGAGAUGUGUAAUUGAUUUACUGAACUGUUGAACAUUUACUGAAAUACAUUAUUUUAAACAAA